rnacentral:rRNA from 1 species
GCGAACGGGUGAGUAACACGUGGGAAACCUACCUCUUAGCAGGGGAUAACAUUUGGAAACAGAUGCUAAUACCGUAUAACAAUAGCAACCGCAUGGUUGCUACUUAAAAGAUGGUUCUGCUAUCACUAAGAGAUGGUCCCGCGGUGCAUUAGUUAGUUGGUGAGGUAAUGGCUCACCAAGACGAUGAUGCAUAGCCGAGUUGAGAGACUGAUCGGCCACAAUGGGACUGAGACACGGCCCAUACUCCUACGGGAGGCAGCAGUAGGGAAUCUUCCACAAUGGGCGAAAGCCUGAUGGAGCAACGCCGCGUGUGUGAUGAAGGGUUUCGGCUCGUAAAACACUGUUGUAAGAGAAGAAUGACAUUGAGAGUAACUGUUCAAUGUGUGACGGUAUCUUACCAGAAAGGAACGGCUAAAUACGUGCCAGCAGCCGCGGUAAUACGUAUGUUCCAAGCGUUAUCCGGAUUUAUUGGGCGUAAAGCGAGCGCAGACGGUUAUUUAAGUCUGAAGUGAAAGCCCUCAGCUCAACUGAGGAAUUGCUUUGGAAACUGGAUGACUUGAGUGCAGUAGAGGAAAGUGGAACUCCAUGUGUAGCGGUGAAAUGCGUAGAUAUAUGGAAGAACACCAGUGGCGAAGGCGGCUUUCUGGACUGUAACUGACGUUGAGGCUCGAAAGUGUGGGUAGCAAACAGGAUUAGAUACCCUGGUAGUCCACACCGUAAACGAUGAGUGCUAGGUGUUUGAGGGUUUCCGCCCUUAAGUGCCGCAGCUAACGCAUUAAGCACUCCGCCUGGGGAGUACGACCGCAAGGUUGAAACUCAANGGAAUUGACGGGGACCCGCACAAGCGGUGGAGCAUGUGGUUUAAUUCGAAGCAACGCGA